rnacentral:lncRNA from 1 species
CUCAAGCACCUAAGCAUGAAUGGGCAGUUUAGUGAGGAAGGCAUUAUCAUCACUCGACAAACUUGUUUUAGGACUCUUUUAAUGUAGUUGAUACCAUAAUUUGUAAUGUUAGAUAACAUGCUUUUCUUUGCAACAAUAUAUUACCAUGAUUUUCUUCAUGUCUGCUGAAACUGUGAUACCAAAGGAGCAGCAUAAUUUCUAAAUUUUAGUUUGAUUGAUUUCAUGAAUUGUCCAUUAAUUGAACUAUACAUCAUGCAGUCUUCAGG